CACCCUCAAUAGACCUCGAUCAAACACAUCUCGUUUAGAAAAGCAAAUUAGAAGAAGGCGCGAAACCAGCGUCUACUAAUCAAAUAGACAAUGGCGCAGCAGAGUUAAUUUCCCCACACGCACACAGCCCUCUGCGUCCACACCCUUCCCCUCCGUGCCACCCAUAUGAGCGCGAAACAACUUGGUAAAACUAGUCAAGCCCAUCACCGACGUGCUGCGCACGACGUCAUCGACCCUGUCCCAGCCCAUAGAGGUGACGGCACGCCCCCUCCCCCUGCUGCUUCGCCGGAUUGGCUGGAGUCAUGAUGUGUCACGAGUUCCCACAGUUAAGCCCCGCCUCCCUAAGAAAUCAUCUCGGACUGCUCUGGCGGGACUGGUUCGACUGUUGAAAAAGGUGGCAGCCCUUUAAUCGCCUGCUUUAUUGGAGCUGCGCUUUUACUGGUUAUGGAGAGGCUUUUUAAAACCACAACCACUGCCUUACUGGCACGGUGCCCCAACGACAUAAACUUCUUCAGUAAAUAUGUGUCUCCUGGGCAGAAGGUGGUCAGCACAUUCACCCACCUGUGUAAGAUCUGUGCGCAGUGAGGAGAGUGCUGAUCUGAAGUCUCCUUGUAUCUCUGUCCGUAGAGCUGCCAAUAAUUCCCUCAAUGACGCUACUGUAAGCGGAUGUCUUAUACAGAAACAAUAUAUGUCCUAAAAAAGACAUUGUGCCCGUUCCAAUAGAAUCCUGAGGUGACCCUUCUAGUAAUUUUAUUUCUUCUUUCAGCGCCUACAGGUGCCAUUAAAAACACAAACACACACACACUUCCAGUCGUACUAAAGAGAUCUAUGAGCAGACCCUUUGGCCAAGUCUGUUAAUUCCGCAGAGAUAAGUGAAGAAUAUUUUCAACAAAAAAAACCACUUGUGUAAAAGUCCUCACUCUGGAUUUUUAGUUGUGUAUCACACACGAGACAAGGCAUUUACCCAUCAGAAUCUCUCUUGCCUCUUCACAUUUUGCAAUGCUGGAAACAAAAUUUUGGUACAGUUAUAGAAUCUGUUAUCCAGAAACCCAGUAGAAUCUGUUAUCCAGAAACCUGUUAUCCAGAAAAUUCCAAAUUACCAGAUGACCAUCUCCCAUAGACUUA